UCUUGAUGCUUACCCUACCAAAGCAUCCGCCCGAGAACUACGAGCACAAACGCUUAAAACUCUAAGGACUUGGCGGUGCCCCAAACCCACCUAGAGGAGCCUGUUCUAUAAUCGACAACCCACGAUACACCCGACCACUUCUUGCCAAAAACAGCCUACAUACCGCCGUCGCCAGCUCACCUCCCCUGAGAGUAUAACAGUGAGCAUAAUCGCCCUAACCCCGCUAACAAGACAGGUCAAGGUAUAGCCUAUGAAGUGGAAGAAAUGGGCUACAUUUUCUAACCUAGAAAACCCUUAAACUCCAACGAAAGGGAGUGUGAAACAGCUCCCAGAAGGCGGAUUUAGCAGUAAAGCGGGAUAAUAGAGCCCCCUUUAAACCGGCUCUGGGGCACGUACAUACCGCCCGUCACCCUCCUCAAAAGCCCCCUCCCUUUAAAUAAAUAAUACACCCACCUGCCAAAGACGAGGUAAGUCGUAACAAGGUAAGUGUACCGGAAGGU
rnacentral:rRNA from 1 species